ensembl:lncRNA
CACCAACAUAUUUCAUUGUGUAUACGGGGGGUCACACUCUGACAUUUGGAAAGCCGAUAACUCUUCGCGUUGAACCAAAGGAUGUGCCUAGGUCUUUGCCUACUUUAUCAAUAUUAACCUCUCAUGGCAGCAAUGAGAAGCUGGAAACAUGUCUGGCUGCAGGCUUCUUUCCAAAAGAAGGCGAAGUAUCUCUGUACACAGGUGACAAUGUUACGCCUGAAAAUCACACUGUUGAAAAUGCUGCGAUGUCCGCAGCUGGGACUUAUUACUAUGCUGCAUUUUCCAAAGAUGGAAUUAAAAAAUGUGCAAUGAAAGAUGUUUCCCUUGAUAAAAACGAUGUAAAACCCACAGCACAAAUCCCAUCCUGUGACCAGAACAGCACUCUCGGUAUCAGUACUUCUAAUAAUCUGACCAGUCCAAACAAAAUCAAAAUUUCUGGUGAUCCUAAGGGGAACACCAUGCUUUUGAUUGUGACUGGUCUCAGACUUCUGUUGGCUAAAGCAGUUGGUAUAAAUAUAUUGAUGACAAUUAAAGCGUUUCUUGUCUAAAGUUAGACAAAUCCAGAACCUUCCCUUCAACCUUCUGCCUAAUCUAAUACUGCUGAUAUUCAACUACACAGCAAAACCUCCAGUAAAUUAACAUUUAUGCUGUUUAUAUAAGUCUAGAUGGACAGAAAUGAAAGCUGUAGACAGUUAAUUUCCAAAUUGUAAGUGUUCAUAGGUGUUCACUGACAUUUCCUAAGAAAAUAACAUUUUAUGUUUUUGAAAAGCUUAUUUCCUGCGUUCAAAUUCUUUGGUUUGAUGCAUAAAUUUCGAACUAUGUGGUUAAAAUGUAAAUAUUUCAUUUAGUACAAUUUAUAUUCAUACACUUGUUAAGUUUGAUAAAAAGCAGAUAUUUGAACAAGCAGUCAUUUUCCAUGAUAUUUCUGUAUGAUGUUUAAUUUCAAUAUUCUUUACUUUAACUGUCCUAUUUGCUAUAUUUAUCUUAUAUACAUUCUUAUUGAUAUGUUGUCUAUAUGAAACAGAGUGUGCAUAUGGGGUUAAAAAGAAAUAGUGCAACAUGCAAGUUGUUGCACUAACCACAGGUUUAACAGCAAAUAACCCUGCAAGGCACGAUGUAAACCUCACGCUCAGAUAACAAUCUAGCACACAUUUUAAGAAACGCUGUGUUUCAUCAUUAUGCAUAAUUCUCAAGUGAGCACUUUGUCUGCAAUGAAGAAACAAGCAACAGCAAGUUCAUGCUUAAUUCAAUGCUCAUUCUUUGGCUUCAUGUAUAGCAGAAAUAUAUUGCUGCAAUCUAAUAACCUUCCAUUAAGUUUUAUAUUUGUGUAUGCUUUUAAUGAUUUGGAUCUAGGCAAAAAGAACAAUUGUUUUUAUGAAUCUACUAUGAAUCUAAAUAAAAAGAACAAUCAUGAUGCAUGUGUAUAUGGGCUAUGAUGAAUGGGGAUGAAUAUGUAUUUCUGAAGGAUGGGUAUGUAUGCCUUAAUAUAACAAUAAAAGUGCUCUUUACCAAAAUCAUGAUGUUGAGUUUAUUUGGCUCCCUCCUCUGGCUGUGA